rnacentral:pre_miRNA from 1 species
AGCCUCCUGUAUUGGUGCUGAGAUUUCGUCACACACUAAACCACAUGGGCUGAUGAGACUUUCAAGGUAAGUGAAGCG